rnacentral:rRNA from 1 species
AUGCUGCUCGGCUGGUGGACGCCCGUAGGUCUUUAUUAUGGCAGACCGAACCAUACGGUGGUUGUGUGGAACGUGCGCGGUUUAAACAAUCCCGCCAAACGUAAUUCUAUCAAUAAUGCUAUUUUUGGCUCGGGCGCGAGUGUGGUCUGUCUCCAGGAGAUGAAGAUACAAAACAUGGACCCGCAGCUUGUGCGGCACUGCCUAGGGCCGGAAUUCGACCAGUUCUUUUGUGCGCCGGCCCUUGGCACCCAUGGCGGUAUUAUUCUAGCAUGCAAGUCUAUAUACGCACAGCUGUCCAAUCCUCACAUCACGGCAAACACGGUGACAGCGUGGGUGCAAUUCCACGGCUCGGUGGGAUGGUGGUUCACAGGGGUAUACGGCCCAUAG